rnacentral:tRNA from 1 species
GCUGAGGCUCAGUGGCAGAGCACUCUCCUGGCAUGUGUGAAGCCCUGGGUUCAAUUCUCAGCACAACA